GAUGAACGCUGGCGGCGUGCCUAAUACAUGCAAGUCGAGCGAACAGACGAGGAGCUUGCUCCUCUGACGUUAGCGGCGGACGGGUGAGUAACACGUGGAUAACCUACCUAUAAGACUGGGAUAACUUCGGGAAACCGGAGCUAAUACCGGAUAAUAUAUUGAACCGCAUGGUUCAAUAGUGAAAGACGGUUUUGCUGUCACUUAUAGAUGGAUCCGCGCCGCAUUAGCUAGUUGGUAAGGUAACGGCUUACCAAGGCAACGAUGCGUAGCCGACCUGAGAGGGUGGUCGGCCACACUGGAGCUGAGACACGGUCCAGACUCCUACGGGAGGCAGCAGUAGGGAAUCUUCCGCAAUGGGCGAAAGCCUGACGGAGCAACGCCGCGUGAGUGAUGAAGGUCUUCGGAUCGUAAAACUCUGUUAUUAGGGAAGAACAGAUGUGGAAGUAACUAUGCACGUCUUGACGGUACCUAAUCAGAAAGCCACGGCUAACUACGUG
rnacentral:rRNA from 1 species